rnacentral:lncRNA from 1 species
AGACCAGCUCUUUGGGAUUAGACCGUGAUCUGAGAAAUUUAUUAACUAAGGCCGACAUUAUUACAGCCGUUUUGAGCCGCUUGAACAAAGUUUACCAGGACAAAGUGUGUGGAGGUUGCUUCCGAUAUAUGUCUUCGCUUCCUAUUAGGAUGACCAUCCGGGGAUUUCCUAUAUGUGGACGAUGUCACGAUUCUGAAGAAUUUAAGGAUGUUUCCUCCGCCAUUUCAAGGGCCAACUUUUUCGUGACCCAUUUUGAAUUUUUCUGCAUCAAUACCCUGGACGGAUGUCUUGUUCAGGAUCUAAAGCCUGCAGCUAUCAUGGACCAUGAAGCAAAGUGUAAAGUCCCACAAUUGGAUUGUGUGUUUUGCUCAUUUAAGGAAAAUA